AGGGGAUGGAGACCGGCUCGGCUUGUGUCAGCGUUCGGCUGAACAUUUUCUCCUCCGGCAGCAGUCAGAGUCUGCUACGUCAGAGUGAUGCUGCUCACCUUGGCGGAUGAACACUCUCACUCUCACACAAAGACACCUGGAUAUUGUGGGCUGUAAUCCCCGAACGUUCCUCCUCUCAUCCAGACCAGAGGAUUAUAAACACACACGCGUGUGAAGAGAGCUCAAUCUCAAUUAUUGUGGUUGGCCCACACUCCAUUUGGGUAGGAUCCCAGCAGUGAUGUUUUGCUGAGCAAGUGCCACAGGUAAUCUGCAACCCAGAGUUGGGCAUCGAGAGAGAGAGAAAGAGAGGGAGUAAGAGAGAUACAGAGGCACUACUUCUAGACAUGAAGAAAAUCUGGUCCAAGAAGAGGUUCCAGAGGACCGGACACUCCACCAAGACCUUUGGAAGGUUCACCCAUGUUUUCCGCUCCUGCCGAAAGCAAAGCUAUGGUAAACCAGUCUUGUUUCUCUCUCUCUCUCUCUCUCUCUCUCUCUCUCUCUCUCUCUCUCUCUCUCUCUCUCUCUCU
rnacentral:lncRNA from 13 species